rnacentral:rRNA from 1 species
UUUUUAAUUGGGGACUGGUAUGAAAGGUUGAAUGAAGGGCAAACUGUUUAUUUGUAAAUACAGAAUUUGAUUAUCAAGUAAAAAGGCUUGAAUAUUAUAAAGUGACAAGAAGACCCUAGGAGUUUUAUAUAAGUAAAUAGUUGGCUGUGAGGUGGUGUGAUAUGCAAGGUUGUUUGCUUAUAGUUGACUGGGGCGGUUGAAAAUUAUCUUUUUUGUGGAUUACUUUAAUUAAAGUAGUGUUUAUUAUAAAAUAUCCUUGUUGGAAAGCAGUAUUAAUUACCUUAGGGAUAACAGCAUAAUCUUCUCUGAGAGAUCUUAUUGACGGGGGGGUUUGUGACCUCGAUGUUGGAUUCGAAUAACUAUAAGGAGCAGAAUUUUUAUAAGUUGGUCUGUUCGACCAUUAAAUCUCAACAUGAUUUGA